UACGUAGGGUGCGAGCGUUGUCCGGAAUUAUUGGGCGUAAAGAGCUCGUAGGCGGUUUGUUGCGUCUAUCGUGAAAACCUGCAGCUUAACUGUGGGCUUGCGGUGGAUACGGGCAGACUUGAGUUCGGUAGGGGAGACUGGAAUUCCUGGUGUAGCGGUGAAAUGCGCAGAUAUCGGGAGGAACACCGGUGGCGAAGGCGGUUCUCUGGGCCUGUUCUGACGCUGAGGAGCGAAAGCAUGGGGAGCGAACAGG
rnacentral:rRNA from 1 species